rnacentral:rRNA from 1 species
UACGAAGGGGGCGAGCGUUGUUCGGAUUUACUGGGCGUAAAGCGCGCGUAGGCGGUUACUCAAGUCAGAGGUGAAAGCCCGGGGCUCAACCCCGGAACUGCCUUUGAAACUAGGUGACUAGAAUCUUGGAGAGGUCAGUGGAAUUCCGAGUGUAGAGGUGAAAUUCGUAGAUAUUCGGAAGAACACCAGUGGCGAAGGCGAUUGACUGGACAAGUAUUGACGCUGAGGUGCGAAAGCGUGGGGAGCAAACAGG